UACGGGAGGCAGCAGUGGGGAAUAUUGCACAAUGGAGGAAACUCUGAUGCAGCGACGCCGCGUGAGCGAAGAAGUAUUUCGGUAUGUAAAGCUCUAUCAGCAGGGAAGAAAAAAAUGACGGUACCUGACUAAGAAGCCCCGGCUAACUACGUGCCAGCAGCCGCGGUAAU
rnacentral:rRNA from 1 species